rnacentral:rRNA from 1 species
UACGAAGGGGGCUAGCGUUGCUCGGAAUCACUGGGCGUAAAGGGCGCGUAGGCGGGCUCUUAAGUCAGGGGGGAAAGCCCAAGGCUCAACCUUGGAAUUGCCUUUGAUACUGAAGGCCUUGAGACCGGAAGAGGUCGGCGGAACUGCGAGUGUAGAGGUGAAAUUCGUAGAUAUUCGCAAGAACACCAGUGGCGAAGGCGGCCGACUGGUCCGGUUCUGACGCUGAGGCGCGAAAGCGUGGGGAGCAAACAGG